rnacentral:siRNA from 1 species
UGAACUAACGGUCAGGGAUAC